UGCCGGGGCAAUUAAGAUUCUGAGUGUUGUGAAAAUCAGAGUCUUUUUGCCCUGGCUCU
rnacentral:pre_miRNA from 1 species